rnacentral:rRNA from 1 species
GAUGAACGCUGGCGGCGUGCCUAAUACAUGCAAGUCGAGCGAACGGACGAGAAGCUUGCUCCUCUGAUGUUAGCGGCGGACGGGUGAGUAACACGUGGAUCACCUACCUAUAUGACUGGGAUAACUUCGGGAAACCGGAGCUAAUACCGGAUAAUAUUUUGAACCGCAUGGUUCAAAAGUGAAAGACGGUCUUGCUGUCACUUAUAGAUGGAUCCGCGCUGCAUUAGCUAGUUGGUAAGGUAACGGCUUACCGAGGCAACGAUGCAUAGCCGACCUGAGAGGGUGAUCGGCCACACUGGAACUUGGACACGGUCCAGACUCCUACGGGAGGCAGCAGUAGGGAAUCUUCCGCAAUGGGCGAAAGCCUGACGGAGCAACGCCGCGUGAGUGAUGAAGGUCUUCGGAUCGUAAAACUCUGUUAUUAGGGAAGAACAUAUGUGUAAGUAACUGUGCACAUCUUGACGGUACCUAAUCAGAAAGCCACGGCUAACUACGUG